GACGAACGCUGGCGGCGUGCCUAAUACAUGCAAGUCGAACGCUGAAGGAGGAGCUUGCUUCUCUGGAUGAGUUGCGAACGGGUGAGUAACGCGUAGGUAACCUGCCUGGUAGCGGGGGAUAACUAUUUGAAACGAUAGCUAAUACCGCAUAAGAGUAGAUGUUGCAUGACAUUUGCUUAAAAGGUUCAAUUGCAUCACUACCAGAUGGACCUGCGUUGUAUUAGCUAGUUGGUGGGGUAACGGCUCACCAAGGCGACGAUACAUAGCCGACCUGAGAGGGUGAUCGGCCACACUGGGACUGAGACACGGCCCAGACUCCUACGGGAGGCAGAAGUAGGGAAUCUUCGGCAAUGGACGGAAGGCUGACCGAGCAACGCCGCGUGAGUGAAGAAGGUUUUAGGAUCGUAAAGCUCUGUUGUAAGAGAAGAACGAGUGUGAGAGUGGAAAGUUCACACUGUGACGGUAUCUGACCAGAAAGGGACGGCUAACUACGUG
rnacentral:rRNA from 1 species